rnacentral:rRNA from 1 species
CUACGGGACGCUGCAGUGAGGAAUAUUGCACAAUGGGGGGAACCCUGAUGCAGCAACGCCGCGUGGAGGAUGACGCAUUUCGGCGUGUAAACUCCUUUUAUAUGUCAAGAAAAUGACGGUAGCAUAUGAAUAAGCACCGGCUAACUCCGUGCCAGCAGCCGCGGUAAUACGGAGGGUGCAAGCGUUACUCGGAAUCACUGGGCGUAAGGGACGCGUAGGCGGGUUGGAAAGUCAGGUGUGAAAUCCUACAGCUUAACUGUAGAACUGCACUUGAAACUUCUAAUCUAGAGUAUGGGAGGGGGAGAUGGAAUUAGUGGUGUAGGGGUAAAAUCCGUAGAUAUCACUAGGAAUACCUAAAGCGAAGGCGAUCUCCUGGAACAUUACUGACGCUAAGGCGUGAAAGCGUGGGGAGCAAACAGGAUUAGAUACCCCUGUAGUC